rnacentral:rRNA from 1 species
AUUGAACGCUGGCGGCAGGCCUAAAACAUGCAAGUCGAACGAGUGGCGGAAGGGUGAGUAAUGUCUGGGAAAAUGCCUGAUGGAGGGGGAUAACUACUGGAAACGGUAGCUAAUAACGCAUAUAAUCGGAUGUGCCCAGGUGGGAUUAGCUAGGAGGUGGGGUAAAGGCUAACCUAGGCGACGAUCCCUAGCUGGUAGGAGAGGAUGACCGGCCAUAGUGGAACUGAGACACGGCCCAAACUCCUACGGGAGGCAGCAGUAGGGAAUAUUGCACAAUGGACGCAAUCCUGAUGCAGCCAUGCCGCGUGUGUGAAGAAGGCUUUCGGAUUGUAAAGCACUUUCGGCGAUGAGGCGUUACUCGCAGAAGAAGCACCGGCUAACUCCGUGCCAGCAGCCGCGGUAAUAC